CAAUUGAUGCACGCAUGCUCACGCAUCAACCAUCGAUACAGACAAACAUGCACACCUUGGAUGACACCGAUCGAUCACUGACUCAUCGCCGGCCUAUGCUUUACAUACGUGUGUGUGAUCAGAGCACACGACUGUGAGAGCUAGCUAGCUAGUUGGCUUCAUCGAGCGACAAUGGCCUCCGACCGCCUCAGCGCCCUCCGGGCCUUCGACGACACCAAGGCCGGCGUCAAGGGCCUCGUGGACGCCGGCGCCACCGCCAUCCCGGCCAUUUUCCACCACCCACCCGACGCCUUCGCCCCGUCCACUGUCGCCACCGACGUCGCCGUUCCAAUCGUCGACCUCUCCUGCGAGCGCUCGGCCGUGGUCGGCGCGGUGAGGGCCGCGGCGGAGACGGUGGGCUUCUUCCUGCUGGCGAACCACGGCGUGCCGGAGGCGGCCAUGUCGGGGAUGCUGGCGGCGGUGCGGCGCUUCAACGAGGAGCCGGCGGAGGCCAAGGCGCCGUACUACACGCGGGGCGCGGCCAGGCGCGUGCGCUACAGCUGCAACGCGGACCUCUUCCAGACGCUGGUGGGCAAGUGGCGCGACACCGUGUACAUGGACGACGCGGACCGGCCGGCAUCCGGCGAGGAGACGGAGGAGCUCCUCCUCCCGCCGGCGUUGAGGGGCGUCGCGCCGGAGUACACGGGGCAGAUGCGGCGGCUGGGGCGCGCCCUCUUCGAGCUGCUGUCGGAGGCCCUGGGGCUGCCUCGUCCUGCCUACCUGGAGGAGGAGGCCGGCUGCAUGGCGGCGCUCAGCGUGGCCGGCCACUAGUACCCGGCGUGCCCGGAGCCGCACCUCACGAUGGGCACCGUCAAGCACUCCGACCCCAGCUUCCUCACCGUGCUGCUCCAGGACGCCGUCGGCGGCCUCCAGGUGCUCGUGGACGACCCCUCAAGGACGGCAGCGAGCCCGCCGCGUGGGUGGACGUGCCGGCGAUGGGGGAGGCGUCGCUGGUGGUGAACGUCGGCGACUUCCUGCAGCUGGUGUCCAACGACAGGUUCAAGAGCCCGGUGCACCGCGUGGUGUCCAAGAGCGUGGGGCCCCGGGUGUCGGUGGCGUGCUUCUUCAGGGCGAACGGCCCGACGGUGUGCGCCCCGGUGGUCGUCAACGGGAGCGGACCGCCGCGGUACAGGAGCAUCAAGGCGGAGGAGAUGCUCUGCAUGUCCAAGACACAGACACGGCUCAACAACGUGAGGCUCUAGCUAGCUAGCAUCCGUUCUGUUUAAUAAAAAAAAAACUAGCUAGCAUCCGUGCGUUCACAAGGAUAGUCUGGCACAUCUCUAUGUUGUGGGAUGCAAACAUCAUCAAUGUUGCAAUAUAGCAAUUCUGUAUGCUGUCAGCAUUUGCCAUGACAAAAAUAUCAUGCCAAAGAUUAUUUUCGAGUACUCAAGAAAAUCAAAAAAUUGUCAUGAAUUUAUUCAUAUACUGUAUUAAAUAAAAUGCCAUGACCCAUCAAUUAGAGUUGCCAUACAGGAUUAAGUUGAACAUGAAUGCAUCUAUACAUGGAUGUGUACUCCAUGCAAUUAAGUUGACAUGCUCCAUACAAAUCACAUGGCAUGGAAAAUUUGCCACGGCAGAAAAAGAGUAAAAUUUGCCAUGUGAAUGAAAAUCAUUUUUUCCAUGGCAAAAAAAAGUAAAAUUUGCCAUAUGAAUAUAAUUUAUUUUUGACAUAGAAGAAGAGUUUAAAUUUUGCCAGGGCAAAAAAGAGUAAAAU
rnacentral:rRNA from 1 species